UACGGAGUGUGCGAGCGUUAAUCGGAAUUACUGGGCGUAAAGCGCACGCAGGCGGUUUGUUAAGCUAGAUGUGAAAGCCCCGGGCUCAACCUGGGAUGGUCAUUUAGAACUGGCAGACUAGAGUCUUGGAGAGGGGAGUGGAAUUCCAGGUGUAGCGGUGAAAUGCGUAGAUAUCUGGAGGAACAUCAGUGGCGAAGGCGACUCCCUGGCCAAAGACUGACGCUCAUGUGCGAAAGUGUGGGUAGCGAACAGG
rnacentral:rRNA from 1 species